rnacentral:rRNA from 1 species
AGCGAACGCUGGCGGCAGGCCUAACACAUGCAAGUCGAACGGACCCUUCGGGGUUAGUGGCGGACGGGUGAGUAACACGUGGGAACGUGCCUUUAGGUUCGGAAUAGCUCCUGGAACCGGGUGGUAAUGCCGAAUGUGCCCUUCGGGGGAAAGAUUUAUCGCCUUUAGAGCGGCCCGCGUCUGAUUAGCUAGUUGGUGGGGUAAUGGCUGCCCAAGGCGACGAUCAGUAGCUGGUCUGAGAGGAUGACCAGCCACACUGGGACUGAGACACGGCCCAGACGCCUACGGGAGGCAGCAGUGGGGAAUCUUGCGCAAUGGGCGAAAGCCUGACGCAGCCAUGCCGCGUGAAUGAUGAAGGUCUUAGGAUUGUAAAAUUCUUUCACCGGGGACGAUAAUGACGGUACCCGGAGAAGAAGCCCCGGCUAACUUCGUGCCAGCAGCCGCGGUAA